GUGGGGAAUAUUCCGCAAUGGACGAAAGUCUGACGGAGCAACGUCGCGUGAGUGAUGAAGGUUUUCGGACUGUAAAGCUCUGUUGUUUGGGACGAAAGUGCCUGUUGCGAACAGUUACGGGUAUUGACGGUACUAAACGAGGAAGCCACGGCUAACUACGUGCCAGCAGCCGCGGUAAUACGUAGGUGGCAAGCGUUGUCCGGAAUUAUUGGGCGUAAAGAGCAUGUAGGCGGGAAUCUAAGUCUGUUGUUAAAAUGCGGGGCUCAACCCCGUAUUGCGAUGGAAACUGGGUUUCUUGAGUGCAGGAGAGGAAAGGGGAAUUCCCAGUGUAGCGGUGAAAUGCGUAGAUAUUGGGAGGAACACCAGUGGCGAAGGCGCCUUUCUGGACUGUGUCUGACGCUGAGAUGCGAAAGCCAGGGUAGCGAACUGGAUUAGAAACCCCGGUAGUCC
rnacentral:rRNA from 1 species